rnacentral:rRNA from 1 species
AGUGAACGCUGGCGGUAGGCCUAACACAUGCAAGUCGAACGGCAGCACAGUAAGAGCUUGCUCUUACGGGUGGCGAGUGGCGGACGGGUGAGGAAUACAUCGGAAUCUACUUUUUCGUGGGGGAUAACGUAGGGAAACUUACGCUAAUACCGCAUACGACCUACGGGUGAAAGCAGGGGAUCUUCGGACCUUGCGCGAUUGAAUGAGCCGAUGUCGGAUUAGCUAGUUGGCGGGGUAAAGGCCCAGCAAGGCGACGAUCCGUAGCUGGUCUGAGAGGAUGAUCAGCCACACUGGAACUGAGAGACGGUCCAGACUCCUACGGGAGGCAGCAGUGGGGAAUAUUGGACAAUGGGCGCAAGCCUGAUCCAGCCAUACCGCGUGGGUGAAGAAGGCCUUCGGGUUGUAAAGCCCUUUUGUUGGGAAAGAAAAGCAGCAGGUUAAUACCCCGCUGUUCUGACGGUACCCAAAGAAUAAGCACCGGCUAACUUCGUG